AAACUUUCAACAACGGAUCUCUUGGUUCUGGCAUCGAUGAAGAACGCAGCGAAAUGCGAUAAGUAAUGUGAAUUGCAGAAUUCAGUGAAUCAUCGAAUCUUUGAACGCACAUUGCGCCCCUUGGUAUCCCGAGGGGCAUGCCCGUUCGAGCGUCAUUA
rnacentral:rRNA from 2 species